AAAACAAGCAGCAUAUCACCAUACACGUCCUACGCGUUUCGUGCUAAAAUUGGACUUCCUCAGGGACUUGGUGUAAUAAAGUGCAAUCAGAAAUAGCAGCAAUAAUAACAAUAUCCCCCCCAAUAGUCCUUUAUAUACACCCCCAUUUGAUGUUUGAAAUCUUUCAGCUGGUGUUCAAUUUUCAUUUCGGCGGUGUGGAGUCGAGUGACGUCAUCGCGUACACCGCGUGCGUUCCACCUUGCGUUCCACAGACCCGGAAGUGGGUCGCGAUCGUCUGUCUCUUUCUCCUAUUCUAAUGCAUUGACUUAAAGCAUAUACAGACAGGUGGAUAAAGCGAAAGGGGGAGGGACAGAUAAUUAAAA